AACUUAUUCAGAGUAAGCAGAGGGAAUUGGCCCGAUGAAGCUUCAGCAACCGACCUUUUGGCACGGUGCUACAUCCAACAAGCAUGGCUUGGCAGAUAAGUG
rnacentral:ncRNA from 2 species